GGAGCCAUGUAAAGUGGAGUGUAUCUGUAACAGGGAAAUGAAGACGGUCCUGUGUCGAUCCUGUGGAAUGACCUUCAAAGGUCGAGUGCGACGAAUCUGUUUGAUCCACCCCAACAACAUUCACCUGAUGGACCUGGAGUGCUGCCCUAAUUGUAAGGCUUCACACAUCAAGGAAUUCACAGAAACAAUGGCUGGAAAACGUAACAUAUGAAGUGACUACAUCAUGAUCAAGAAACUGUGCCAAAGACAUUGCAGCCAAAAUGUCAAAUUACUGUGUGUUUCAGACAUUGCAGCCAAAAUGUCAAAUUACUGUUGUGUUCAGACAUUGCUGCCAAAAUGUCAAAUUACUGUGUGUUUCAGACAUUGCAGCCAAAGUGUCAAAUUACUGUGUUUCAGACAUUGCAGCCAAAGUGUCAAAUUACUGUGUGUUUCAGACAUUGCAGCUAAAAUGUCAAAUUACUGUGUUUCAGACAUUGCAGCCAAAGUGUCAAAUUAUUGUGUUUCAGACAUUGCUGCCAAAAUGUCAAAUUACUGUGUUUCAGACAUUGCAGCCAAAGUGUCAAAUUACUGUGUGUUUCAGACAUUGCAGCCAAAAUGUCAAAUUACUGUGUGUUUCAGACAUUGCAGCCAAUGUGUCAAAUUACUGAGUGUUCAGACAUUGCAGCCAAAAUGUCAAAUAACUGUGUUUCAGACAUUGCAACCAAAGUGUCAAAUUAUUGCUGAGCUGAAGGUUCUAUAGCUCUGAUCCAGAGAAUCACUACAUAUUUAUAUAUAAUUAGGUCACCUGAGACUAAGGGACCACCUGUAAGGGGAUCGGUGAAGUGUUGGUGAUCUGUAAAGACUACAUGAUGAUGACAUUAGGUCAGUGACUUUGUGGAGUACGACACUGUAAUGACACUAGGUCGGUGACUUUGGGGAGUACGACACUAUAAUGACAUUAGGUCGGUGACUUUGAGGAGUACGACACUAUAAUGACAUUAGGUCAGUGACUUUGAGGAGUACGACACUAUAAUGACAUUAGGUCGGUGACUUUGAGGAGUACGACACUAAAAUGACACUAGGUCAGUGACUUUGAGGAGUACGACACUAUAAUGGCAUUAGUUCGGUGACUUUGAGGAGUACGACACUAUAAUGACAUUAGGUCAGUGACUUUGAGGAGUACGACACUGUAAUGACAUUAGGUCAGUGACUUUGAGGAGUACGACACUGUAAUGACAUUAGGUCAGUGACUUUGAGGAGUACGACACUAUAAUGACAUUAGGUCGGUGACUUUGAGGAGUACGACACUAUAAUGACAUUAGGUCGGUGACUUUGAGGAGUACGACACUGUAAUGACAUUAGGUCAGUGACUUUGAGGAGUACGACACUGUAAUGACAUUAGGUCGUUGACUUUGAGGAGUACGACACUAUAAUGACAUUAGGUCAGUGACUUUGAGGAGUACGACACUAUAAUGACAUUAGGUCACUGACUGAGUACGGUAUGACAAUGUUAUGUAGGUCACUACAUUUUCCCCAACUUCCCAAAUUUUAGCUACAGGUCGAGGUUUUGUAUCAGUUGAACAAAAAUAUGGAGAUGUAUAUAGUGUUUGAAAUGUGAUUAUCAGGAAUGUGACAUUAAGCAAUGUAACAUUAAAUGGAAUAUUUUAAAUGUAAA